ensembl:piRNA 21ur-4995 ncRNA
UACGCCACACGCUCAUUCCUC